rnacentral:tRNA from 1 species
GGGGCUGUAGCUUUGUGGUAGAGCACUUGCUUACAAAGCACAAGGCCCUGGGUUCUAUCCCCAGCACCA